UGUACCAGUUGUCUUGCCAAAGGCAUCGCUGGGUAGCUAUGUGCGGAAGGGAUAAGUGCUGAAAGCAUCUAAGCAUGAAGCCCCCCUCGAGAUGAGAUUUCCCAUCACUUUAUGUGAGUAAGAUCCCUGAAAGAUGAUCAGGUAGAUAGGUCUGAGGUGGAAGCGUGGCGACACGUGCAGCUGACAGAUACUAAUCGAUCGAGGACUUAACCAC
rnacentral:rRNA from 2 species